ACCCGCACAAGCGGUGGAUGAUGUGGUUUAAUUCGAUGCAACGCGAAGAACCUUACCAGGUCUUGACAUCCCGAUGCUAUUUCUAGAGAUAGAAAGUUACUUCGGUACAUCGGUGACAGGUGGUGCAUGGUUGUCGUCAGCUCGUGUCGUGAGAUGUUGGGUUAAGUCCCGCAACGAGCGCAACCCCUAUUGUUAGUUGCCAUCAUUCAGUUGGGCACUCUAGCGAGACUGCCGGUAAUAAACCGGAGGAAGGUGGGAUGACGUCAAAUCAUCAUGCCCCUUAUGACCAGGGCUACACACGUGCUACAAUGGUUGGUACAACGAGUUGCGAGUCGGUGACGGCGAGCUAAUCUCUUAAAGCCAAUCUCAGUUCGGAUUGUAGGCUGCAACUCGCCUACAUGAAGUCGGAAUCGCUAGUAAUCGCGGAUCAGCACGCCGCGGUGAAUACGUUCCCGGGCCUU
rnacentral:rRNA from 1 species